rnacentral:rRNA from 1 species
ACUGAACGCUGGCGGCAGGCUUAACACAUGCAAGUCGAGCGGGGUGAUGGUGCUUGCACUAUCACUUAGCGGCGGACGGGUGAGUAAUGCUUAGGAAUCUGCCUAUUAGUGGGGGACAACAUCUCGAAAGGGAUGCUAAUACCGCAUACGUCCUACGGGAGAAAGCAGGGGAUCACUUGUGACCUUGCGCUAAUAGAUGAGCCUAAGUCGGAUUAGCUAGUUGGUGGGGUAAAGGCCUACCCAGGCGACGAUCUGUAGCGGGUCUGAGAGGAUGAUCCGGCACACUGGGACUGAGACACGGCCCAGACUCCUACGGGAGGCAGCAGUGGGGAAUAUUGGACAAUGGGGGGAACCCUGAUCCAGCCAUGCCGCGUGUGUGAAGAAGGCCUUAUGGUUGUAAAGCACUUUAAGCGAGGAGGAGGCUCUUUUGGUUAAUACCCAAGAUGAGUGGACGUUACUCGCAGAAUAAGCACCGGCUAACUCUGUGCCAGCAGCCGCAGUAA